rnacentral:rRNA from 1 species
GACGAACGCUGGCGGCGUGCCUAAUACAUGCAAGUAGAACGCACAGUUUAUACCGUAGCUUGCUACACCAUAGACUGUGAGUUGCGAACGAGUGAGUAACGCGUAGGUAACCUGCCUGGUAGCGGGGGAUAACUAUUGGAAACGAUAGCUAAUACCGCAUAAUAUUGAUUAUUGCAUGAUAAUUGAUUGAAAGAUGCUAUUGCAUCACUACCAGAUGGACCUGCGUUGUAUUAGCUAGUAGGUGAGGUAACGGCUCACCUAGGCGACGAUACAUAGCCGACCUGGGAGGGUGAUCGGCCACACUGGGAAUGAGACACGGCCCAGAAUCCUACGGGAGGCAGCAGUAGGGAAUCUUCGGAAAUGGACGAAAGUCUGACCGAGCAACGCCGCGGGAGUGAAGAAGGUUUUCGGAUCGUAAAGCUCUGUUGUAAGAGAAGAACGGGUGUGAGAGUGGAAAGUUCACACUGUGACGGUAUCUGACCAGAAAGGGACGGCUAACUACGUG